AGCUGGGUGAGUGUUUAGGCAGCUGGACGAGUGUUGGCUUGAGUUCAAUCAGCUCGGUUCAGCUGGUAUUCAGUUCACCAUGAUCUGUUCAGCUCACAGGAGCUGGUAGACUAGCUCACUCAGCUGGGAACAGCUGGAGGUCAGCUCAAUCCGGUGAACGGUGCGUUCUGGUUCGGAUCAGUGUGGGCGAGUCCGGGACGGUUACUGGGCGAGCCGAUGGUCCGGGUGCAGGACGGUUCGACCAAAUGGGUCUUAGUCUUGGGACAGGGAGUGGCCAAGCUUCCAGAGUGUGAGCUGAGGCUCAGUGAUCGAUUUGCCAAAGGAAGAAAAGGGGAGAAACCGCCAAUGGGCGGUUAUGGGGCGGUUAUGGGACGGUUUUGGGAAGAAGGGAUG
rnacentral:lncRNA from 1 species